UUUGUGUUGGAACAGUUGUGUCAGAUUGAUAUUUUAUAAUUUUUUCUCACAAAUUUUGCUGUAAUUUAGCGUCCGUCGAAAUAAAUUUUCAUCAACUUACAAUUUUUUUUUUAUAUUCAUAUGUAAAGCCUGCACAUAGAAGUGUAGAAGGAGUCUAGAACAAUUUUAUGCAAGCCUAUUGGUAAGCAGCUAUCUGCAAUGUCCAUGCGAAGCUUGAUCAAGCAAUUCUUGGCACCAAGAGUUCCUUUGUGCGAGGAGAGAGAUUUUGGUGGUUUUAUGAAACCGGCGCCUCAUUUCUUUUCGCGCCUCUGCGCUUGAUUUGUAGUGCCGCGGGCUUAGAUUCGAAAUUUAGCGGCAUAUUCGGUGCACCGCCGCGUAGUUGUUCUCUCCUCCACCGGGCCCACCCAUAGACGAGGUAUAUCGAUUCGACCAAUCUUCCAGCUUGAAAUCCUCCCUGCAAGCAAUUAGGGACAACUUGGCCACCUAGGCCAGCCAUCAUGGGUCGCCAGCAGGGCUCGUGUAAGGUGUUGGUCUCCCGUAUUCCCAAGCGCGUCGACAAACAGGACAUUCGUUCGUUACUCUCGACUUACGGCAACAUCCAGUCGUGUGACACGUUAGAGGACGAGAGAAAUCUGUCAAAUAAUCGCCAGCUCGGGCAGAAAAGCGAGUGUUAUCGCGUGACCGCGACUUACGAUAACCCCGAGCAGGCGGAGCAGGCCGUGCGCAACCUGGCUAGACGCCCAUACGCAGGGGGAAUUCUGCGAGCGGAGUACUAUAGCUCGGCGUCCUUCAACGGACACCAUUACAGCAACGGCCACAUCCACACUUAUUUUAACGGACACGACCCCGUUCACAAACGUCACAACAACGUAAUGGGCGGAGGUCGCGGUGCCAGUGGACUCACAAACGGUCGUGGAGGUGGCGUCGGGAUGUCAAACGGACUGGGAGGCUUGGCCGGAGGCUUAGGACCAGGACCAUUUGGGCCCUACGGAGGCCCAAGUGGUCACGGUCACGCGCCUCUGGGCCCGCCCCCACCGCCCCCGAAGGAUAUCCCGCUCCGCAUGCUGGUUCCCUCAGAGAUGGUCGGCGCCAUCAUCGGUAAGAGCGGCGCGACCAUCAAGCAGAUUACGCAGCAGAGCCGCGCAAGAGUCGAUGUGCAUAGUGAUAACAGGAAAGACGCGGGAGGCAUUUACAAUCAGGGACAGGUGGAGAAGGUAAUCAACAUCUACGGGUCCGUUGAUAACUGCUCGGCGGCCUGCAAAAAGAUACUGGAGGUGAUGCAGCAGGAAGCGGCGAAUCCGUCGGAUUCCGGCGCCGCCGCUGCUGCCAAACGUUCAGACGAACCAAUCGUGCUUAAGCUGCUUGCACAUAACAAUCUAGUUGGCCGAGUCAUCGGGCGCAGUGGUGCUGUCAUCAAGAAAGUGAUGGACGAAACCUCGGCGAAGGUCAACGUUUCGUCAAUGGCGGAUCCUCGUGAACGAGUGAUAAUUAUUAAGGGUUCACUUGACGAGAUGUCGAAAGCUCAACAACAGAUUACAGCGAAGAUGCGACAGUGCUAUGAGCAUGAUAUGCAGCAAGCAGCAUCGAUGAUGGGCGGCUACGGUGGACCGCCAGGCCCGCUUGGUCAAGGUGGCCAUGGGAGUGGCGGCGCAAUGGGUCACGGUGGUGCCGGCGGGGCAAUGGGUCAUCAUCAUCAUCAUCAUCAUCAUCAUCAUAGCCUUGGGGGAGGCCACGGGACAGGCAUGGGUCCGCCCCCGCCUCCCCCGCCUCCUCCCGCCUACCCACCGCCGUUCCAUAGGCCACCACUGCCACCUCCACCACCACAUGCGCAUCAUGGUGGCCCCGGAGGGCCAGCUGGUGCUGGAGGCCACGGGUUGCCCCAUUACGGGCCUCCAUAUGGUCCCAUGGGUGUGCCCGCCCCCGGCGGACAUUUCUAUCCUCCCGGAGACGGCAGCGUAGAGACGGUCCAGGUAUGGGUUCCAUCAUGCACCGUUGGGGCCAUUAUCGGCACGGGCGGCUCGUCAAUCCGGGAGAUGAUAAGAGUGUCCGGCUGCAGCAUCAAGGUGUCGCCUAGCAGCGCCAAAGAGGAGAACCGCUCGAAGGACGAUGCGGCUAAGAAGGAUGGUUCAAAGGACGACACCCCUAGCUCUUCGGGGGCGGAGCCAGCCGGUCGACGGGAAGGCGGCGUCGGUGGUGUCGGAAUCUACCCCCAUCCGUCGGACCGACGAGUGACGCUUACCGGCUCAGCCGAAGCGCAGUGGCGAGCCCAAUGCCUACUCUAUCGUAAGGUAUUCCUCGAGGCGGCACAACACCUAGAUUCGAAUCCCGAAGCUGCUGCCGACCCGCAAGUACAGGCUGGCCACCUGCGCGUCGAAAUGAACGUGCCUAGCAACCAGGUGGGUCGCAUUAUCGGCAAAGGCGGACAAACAGUAAAAGAGCUACAGCGCUUGACGCAUGCGCUAAUCAAACUUCCAGAAGAAUCGUCCAGGGGCGGGCAAAGUAGCAGUCCAGAGCCCGACGAUGAGACGCCCGUUCACAUCAUUGGGGACUUCUACGCCGUUCAGGCCGCACAAAGGCAGAUUCGCGCUCUUGUUGCACGAAACGCGAACACUUCUGGCCCAUCAGGAACAUCAACCGCAAAUAACAACGCUGCCCUCAAAAAGAAGGACGAUGCAGCAGUAACGACGGCUGUGGCCACAGCGGCUAAAACCGCUGCUGGCACGACCGUCGCAACCCCAACUGCAACCACCACCCCUGUCACUACUACCCAGAAGGUGGACGCCAAGUCUAUCUGCCAGAAAUCAAGUCGCCAUUACUCGAUGAUGAUGAUCUCCUCCAAUUAGCGCAACGAUCUGUCUUCAGAGGGACAGAGAGGAUCAUGGAAUGCGAUCUGGGGAAAAUGAACAGGGCGACAUCUUGUUGUGAAAACGGGUGAAGGAACGAGUAGGAGGAAGAAGCGGGCGGGGGAGGGGUACGGACGAUGACGACCACAACUUCAACAACAAACAGCAGUAUAAGUAAACAGUGGACAACAGCUAUGAUCCAUUUAUU